rnacentral:lncRNA from 1 species
CCGAAGCUGCUGACGAGUCUACUGUUGUCGGGUAGUUUAGGUGCUGAUACUAUAGGUGGGAGUCACCUGCUGUAGAAGCUCGGAUAGAGACUUUUCGUUGGUGAAGCCCGAUAAGAAUCCGAUUGCUAGAGAGGUCCGUCUGGGAUUCGCCUGAUGUGAAAACUUGCCUGAAGAUGAUCCAUUGGGAAAGUUUGAUUUUAUGAAGGAUCUGGUGGGGGGUCGGUCGAUGAUGGACUUCAGAUGAUGUUGG